rnacentral:rRNA from 1 species
UUUGGAUUGUUCGUCCUUUAAAACCUUACAUGAGUUGGGUUUAGAUCCUUGUGAAAGAGGUCGGUUUAUAUCUUCUAUAAUAUUAAUCUAUUAUUUUAUAUGAUUUAUGUACGCAAGGAUCAAAUCAUUAUAGUAAAAUAUAUAUUUAUAUAUAUGUAUAACUAUAACAAUACGAAUACUGAUUUAUGUUAUUAAGUUUACAAAUAUAUUGUAAUAAUAGAUUAUAGAU